CAUCUCUAUCAUUUUCAACCUUAUCUCUAAGAAGUAAAAUCAAAUUUGUCUCCACUUCUAACAAUCUCCUACUUGGAGACAAAUAUUAGGCCUUACUGGAACUCCGCCUUCAUUCUGAAGUACUAAGACCAAUUGAAGUUGAACAAGACUUUAGUUUCUCAAUAGUUACUACCUUUGUUAAUAUAUCUGCAGGAUUUUCUGUGGUGUGGAUCUUCUCCAAAUUGAUUUUACCAUCUUCUAAGAGUGAGCAAACAAAAUGGUAUUUAAUGUCAAUAUGUUUCGUUCUUGAGUGAAAUGCAGAAUUCUUUGCAAGAUGUAGAGCACUUUGACUAUCAUUGUACAACUUGCAAUCAUCAAGAUUCUUGCCCAAUUCACUCAAGAAAUUUUAAAACUAUACCAUUUCCUUACAAGCUUCUGUCAUUGCUACAUACUUUGUUUCUGUCGUAGAUAUGGUUAUAAUCUUUUGUAACUAAGUGACCCAGCUAAUUGCAGCACUUCCCAAAGUAAACACAUAUCCAAUUGUGCUCUUUCUGUUGUCAAUUUCUCCUGCAAAAUCAGAAUCAACAUACCGAUACAAUCCUAUCUUUGAGCUACCAUAACACAGAGCCAUAUCUCAAGUACCCUUUAGAGAUUGCAGUAUCCACUUGACAACUUCCCAAUGCUCUGUGCUAAGAUUAUUCAUGAAUCUACUAACAACUCCUACUUCAUGAGCAAUAUCUGGUAUUGUACAGACCACAGCAUACAUCAAGCUGCCAAUGGUUGAGGCAUAAAGGACCUUAGCCAUGUACUCUUUCUCUUCGUGCAUUAUUGCUCCUUGUUCUUUUGUCAAUUUGAAGUGACCUGCUAUUUUGGGUACUAACACGCUUAGCACUUUCCAUGUUAAAUCUCUUGAGGACUUUACCAAAAUAUUCUUCUUGUGAUAGCUUUA
rnacentral:lncRNA from 1 species